GUGAAAUAGAACCUGAAACCGUGUGCGUACAAGCAGUAGGAGCAGACUUGUUCUGUGACUGCGUACCUUUUGUAUAAUGGGUCAGCGACUUAUUUUCAGUGGCGAGCUUAACCGAAUAGGGGAGGCGUAGCGAAAGCGAGUCUUAAUAGGGCGUCUAGUCGCUGGGAAUAGACCCGAAACCGGGCGAUCUAUCCAUGGGCAGGU
rnacentral:rRNA from 13 species